rnacentral:rRNA from 1 species
UGUGUAGGCUGUUCUCUAAGUUCGGUGUGAAAUCUCCCGGCUCAACUGGGAGGGUGCGCCGAAAACUAGGGGGCUUGAGUAUGGGAGAGGAAAGCGGAAUUCCUGGUGUAGCGGUGAAAUGCGUAGAUAUCAGGAGGAACACCUGCGGUGUAGACGGCUUUCUGGACCAUCACUGACGCUGAGACACGAAAGCGUGGGGAGCAAACAGGAUUAGAUACCCUGGUAGUCCACGCCCUAAACGAUGCAUACUUGGUGUGAGCCGUUCAUUCGGUUCGUGCCGGAGCUAACGCGUUAAGUAUGCCGCCGUGGGGAGUACGGUCGCAAGGCUGAA